rnacentral:rRNA from 1 species
UACGGGGGGAGCAAGCGUUGUUCGGAUUUACUGGGCGUAAAGGGCGCGUAGGCGGUCGUGACAAGUCACUUGUGAAAUCUCCGGGCUUAACUCGGAACGGUCAAGUGAUACUGUCGGACUAGAGUACAGAAGGGGCAACUGGAAUUCUCGGUGUAGCGGUGAAAUGCGUAGAUAUCAGGAGGAACACCGGUGGCGAAGGCGGCUUGCUGGGCCAGUUCUGACGCUGAGGAGCGAAAGCGUGGGGGAGCGAACAGG